CGGCUCAGUAACACGUGGAUAACCUACCCUUGAGACGGGGAUAAACCCGGGAAACUGGGUAUAAUACCCGAUAGAUCUCGACUGCUGGAAUGCAUCGAGCUUGAAAGCUCCGGCGCUCAAGGAUGGGUCUGCGGCCUAUCAGGUAGUAGUGGGUGUAGCGUACCUACUAGCCUACGACGGGUACGGGUUGUGAGAGCAAGAGCCCGGAGAUGGAUUCUGAGACACGAAUCCAGGCCCUACGGGGUGCAGCAGGCGCGAAAACUUUACAAUGCUGGAAACAGCGAUAAGGGGACCUCGAGUGCCAGGUUACAAAUCUGGCUGUCGUGAUGCCUAAAAAGCAUUGCAUAGCAAGGGCCGGGCAAGACCGGUGCCAGCCGCCGCGGUAACACCGGCGGCUCGAGUGGUAACCGUUAUUAUUGGGUCUAAAGGGUCUGUAGCCGGCCGGAUAAGUCUCUUGGGAAAUCUGGCAGCUUAACUGUCAGGCUUUCAGGAGAUACUGUCUGGCUCGAGGCCGGGAGAGGUGAGAGGUACUUCAGGGGUAGGGGUGAAAUCUUGUAAUCCUUGAAGGACCACCAGUGGCGAAGGCGUCUCACCAGAACGGACCUGACGGCAAGGGACGAAAGCUAGGGGCACGAACCGGAUUAGAUACCCGGGUAGUCCUAGCCGUAAACGAUACUCGCUAGGUGUC
rnacentral:rRNA from 1 species